GUGAGUAACCUGCCCUUGACUCUGGGAUAAGCCUGGGAAACUGGGUCUAAUACCGGAUAUGACUCCUCAUCGCAUGGUGGGGGGUGGAAAGCUUUUGUGGUUUUGGAUGGACUCCCGGCCUAUCAGCUUGUUGGUGGGGUAAUGGCCUACCAAGGCGACGACGGGUAGCCGGCCUGAGAGGGUGACCGGCCACACUGGGACUGAGACACGGCCCACACUCCUACGGGAGGCAGCAGUGGGGAAUAUUGCACAAUGGGCGCAAGCCUGAUGCAGCGACGCCGCGUGAGGGAUGACGGCCUUCUGGUUGUAAACUUCUUUCAGUAGGGAAGAAGCGUAAGUGACGGUACCUGCAAAAGAAGCGCCGGCUAACUACGUGCCAGCAGCCGCGGUAAUACGUAGGGCGCAAGCGUUAUCCGGAAUUAUUGGGCGUAAAGAGCUCGUAUGCGGUUUGUCGCGUCUGCUGUGAAAGACCGGGGCUCAACUCCGGUUCUGCAGUGGGUACGGGCAGACUAGAGUGCAGUAGGGGAGACUGGAAUUCCUGGUGUAGCGGUGAAAUGCGCAGAUAUCAGGAGGAACACCGAUGGCGAAGGCAGGUCUCUGGGCUGUAACUGACGCUGAGGAGCGAAAGCAUGGGGAGCGAACAGGAUUAGAUACCCUGGUAGUCCAUGCCGUAAACGUUGGGCACUAGGUGUGGGGGACAUUCCACGUUUUCCGCGCCGUAGCUAACGCAUUAAGUGCCCCGCCUGGGGAGUACGGCCGCAAGGCUAAAACUCAAAGGAAUUGACGGGGGCCCGCACAAGCGGCGGAGCAUGCGGAUUAAUUCGAUGCAACGCGAAGAACCUUACCAAGGCUUGACAUGAACCGGAAAGACCUGGAAACAGGUGCCCCGCUUGCGGUCGGUUUACAGGUGGUGCAUGGUUGUCGUCAGCUCGUGUCGUGAGAUGUUGGGUUAAGUCCCGCAACGAGCGCAACCCUCGUUCUAUGUUGCCAGCGGUUCGGCCGGGGACUCAUAGGAGACUGCCGGGGUCAACUCGGAGGAAGGUGGGGACGACGUCAAAUCAUCAUGCCCCUUAUGUCUUGGGCUUCACGCAUGCUACAAUGGCCGGUACAAAGGGUUGCGAUACUGUGAGGUGGAGCUAAUCCCAAAAAGCCGGUCUCAGUUCGGAUUGGGGUCUGCAACUCGACCCCAUGAAGUCGGAGUCGCUAGUAAUCGCAGAUCAGCAACGCUGCGGUGAAUACGUUCCCGGGCCUUGUACACACCGCCCGUCAAGUCACGAAAGUUGGUAACACCCGAAGCCGGUGGCCUAACCCUGUG
rnacentral:rRNA from 1 species